rnacentral:rRNA from 1 species
UACGAAGGACCCGAGCGUUAUCCGGAUUUAUUGGGUUUAAAGGGUGCGUAGGCGGAUUUACAAGUCAGUGGUGAAAUCUCCCGGCUUAACCGGGAAACUGCCAUUGAAACUGUUUAUCUUGAGUACAGUUGAGGCGGGCGGAAUGUGUCAUGUAGAGGUGAAAUUCUUAGAUAUGACACAGAACACCAAUUGCGAAGGCAGCUCGCUAAACUGUAACUGACGCUGAGGCACGAAAGCGUGGGGAUCAAACAGG